AUAUCAAUAAGCGGAGGAAAAGAAACUAACAAGGAUUCCCCUAGUAACUGCGAGUGAAGCGGGAAAAGCUCAAAUUUAAAAUCUGGUGGUCUUUGGCCGUCCGAGUUGUAAUUUAGAGAAGCGUCUUCCGCGCUGGACCGUGCACAAGUCUCCUGGAAUGGAGCGUCGUAGAGGGUGAGAAUCCCGUCUUUGGCAUGGACACACCAGGGCUUUUGUGAUGCGCUCUCGAAGAGUCGAGUUGUUUGGGAAUGCAGCUCAAAAUGGGUGGUGAAAUCUCAUCUAAAGCUAAAUAUUGGCGAGAGACCGAUAGCGAACAAGUACCGUGAGGGAAAGAUGAAAAGCACUUUGAAAAGAGAGUUGAAACAGUAG
rnacentral:rRNA from 1 species